AGCAAGAGAACAGAAAAAUUAUACCUUGUUUACUGAAUUUGACCAAAGACGGUUACAAACAAUAAAGCACAUCAUGCAAAUUAAAGUAAAUAAAGAGAAUAAUGCAGAGUUUAAGGCAUGCAUAUAUGCCAAGGGUUUUGUGCAGCCGAAAGCCAGUGCUUGAAUGAGUCAAAAGAUUUCCAUGUUGAAAUUCUUUCGGUAUAGGUAAAGUGACAUUGGGUUCGACAACUUCAUUUUUUUUACCUUUUAUACUAUUUGAAAAAAGUUGAGGUUUCAUCAUAAAAUUAAGGGAGUUUUAAUGAA
rnacentral:lncRNA from 1 species